UUUCUUUCUGCCUUAAUUUCUCUCUGCCUUCUCUCUAACUUCAAUAAAAAAAACCAAAGGAUUCCAAUUUCUAGCCACAAUCCCAAAAACCAAAGUCGACAAUUUCUAAUGGCCACUAGACAUCCAACCCAAACCCCAAAAACCCAAAAAUCGUUGCCCAAAAUCCCUUGACCAUCGUGAAGCUUCUUCAUUGGAAACUUCAAAGUCUAAGUGAGAAGUUCAAAAUUUUAACCUAAAGUUAUACAACAACCCAGGAAAACCCAUAUUUUCAAAUCAACUCUAAAAAAACUAACCCAAAAUCAAAACAAUUUUACAACCAAAUCUGAAAAUCAAAACCCAAGGAGAAAAUCCCAUGCUUAACCCAAAAAUCCAAACCCUAAAUCCAAGAAUUUCCCAAUCCAAAUUGAAAUCAAAACCCUAAUUUUCAUAAAGUUUUGAUAAGCCCAGGAAUCCCAAUUUCCCCGAAUUCUCAAAAACUUCAAAAUAAAAGAAAAACCCUAAAACCUACCCAAAAAACUCUCCCAAGAUUCCUAAAAACCAAAAAACCUACAAAACUCCUUUUUGCUUUUUAGAAAUCAUUGAAUUAAAAAAAAAUUGAGAUCCCCCCCCCCCGAAACUGUGUAUUUACGCUUGAUUUAUGGUCCUUUUAACAAAUUUUUUAGGGUUUAUAGAUUCAAUUAAGGCUUGAAUAACAAGAUUUGAUGUUUAUUCAAUUUGGGUUCAAUGUUUUCCAUUUGAUUGUGGUUUUCUAAAUUAUAUGCAAAUAAAUUCUAAAACUUUUACCCAAUUCACGUACAAAAAUCUAAAAAAUUUUGUUGAUUCAUAUUUUUUUUUAAUUUUAUUGUUAAAAAACAACAACACACGAAUAAAAGAAAGAAA
rnacentral:lncRNA from 1 species